GACGAACGCUGGCGGCGUGCUUAACACAUGCAAGUCGAACGGAAAGGCCCUGCUUUUGUGGGGUGCUCGAGUGGCGAACGGGUGAGUAACACGUGAGUAACCUGCCCUUGACUUUGGGAUAACUUCAGGAAACUGGGGCUAAUACCGGAUAGGAGCUCCUGCUGCAUGGUGGGGGUUGGAAAGUUUCGGCGGUUGGGGAUGGACUCGCGGCUUAUCAGCUUGUUGGUGGGGUAGUGGCUUACCAAGGCUUUGACGGGUAGCCGGCCUGAGAGGGUGACCGGCGACAUUGGGACUGGGAUACGGCCCAGACUCCUACGGGAGGCAGCGGUGGGGAAUAUUGCACAAUGGGCGGAAGCCUGAUGCAGCAACGCCGCGUGCGGGAUGACGGCCUUCGGGUUGUAAACCGCUUUCGCCUGUGACGAAGCGUGAGUGACGGUAAUGGGUAAAGAAGCACCGGCUAACUACGUG
rnacentral:rRNA from 1 species